CUAGUAAUCGCGGAUCAGCAUGCCGCGGUGAAUGCGUUCUCGGGCCUUGUACACACCGCCCGUCACACCAUGAGAGUCGGGAACACCCGAAGUUCGUAGCCUAACCGCAAGGGGGCGCGGCCGAAGGUGGGCUCGAUAAUUGGGGUGAAGUCGUAACAAGGUAGC
rnacentral:rRNA from 1 species